UGCCAGUGCCUGACGUUUGCUUGCACAUAAUAUUCCAGUUUUUUCCCUUAUUCUAAAAAAGACAAUAUUCUGACUAAACUAUCUACACUGCUAAUG